rnacentral:rRNA from 1 species
GUGCCAGCAGCCGCGGUAAUACGGAGGGUGCAAGCGUUACCCGGAAUCAUUGGGCGUAAAGCGUCCGCAGGCGGUAUGUUAAGUAAGAUGUUAAAUUUUGCAGCUCAACUGUAAAACUAUAUCUUAAACUGGCAAACUAGAGUAUUGGAUAGGUGCGUAGAAUUCUGUGUGUAGGGGUAAAAUCCGUAGAUACACAGAGGAAUACCAAAAGCGAAGGCAGCGCACUGGCCAAUUACUGACGCUCAGGGACGAAAGCGUGGGUAGCGAACGGGAUUAGAUACCCCGGUAGUCCACGCCGUAAACGAUGGAUACUAGGUGUUGGGAGACUCGACCCUCUCAGUGCCGACGCUAACGCAUUAAGUAUCCCGCCUGGGGAGUACGGUCGCAAGAUUAAAACUCAAAGGAAUAGACGGGGACCCACACAAGCGGUGGAGCAUGUGGUUUAAUUCGAUAAUAAGCGAGGAA